CAUUACCAAUGAGUCGAGAAAUCGCUCUUUUCUACCCUUCGGGCUGGCCUUCACGGGUCAGCUCGACCGGUUUUAACCCUUUGUGAACCAAAAAAACCUUUUCGCUUCGGCAGCUGGGCUGUUGACAAAACAGCCCGUCAGCCUGCCGCUAGCACCAAACCAAUAAAACUUGUUGUCAAAAACAUUGUCUGAUAACCAAAAUUUUCGAAUGAAAAUCAAAACUUUCAACAACGGAUCUCUUGGUUCCCGCAUCGAUGAAGAACGCAGCGAAACGCGAUAGUUAAUGUGAAUUGCAGAAUUCAGUGAAUCAUCGAGUCUUUGAACGCACAUUGCGCCCAUUGGUAUUCCUUUGGGCAUGUCUGUUUGAGCGUCAUUACAACCCUCAGCUAACCGCUGGUUUUGAACCUGAACGGCUUUCAACGGCCGCGCUGGUUUUAAAGUUGUAAGCUCUGCUGGCCGCUCUGCCCAACCAGAACAUAGUAAGCAAAAACUAACUUGUUCAACGGCGAAGGUGGAACGGAUUCCGGCCUGAACAAAACCGAAAUUUCUUUCAAGGUUUGACCUCAGAUCAGAUAAGGAUACCCGCUGAACUUAAGCAUA
rnacentral:rRNA from 1 species